rnacentral:rRNA from 1 species
UACGAAGGGGGCUAGCGUUGCUCGGAAUCACUGGGCGUAAAGGGUGCGUAGGCGGGUUUUUAAGUCAGAGGUGAAAUCCUGGAGCUCAACUCCAGAACUGCCUUUGAUACUGAAAGUCUUGAGUGCGGGAGAGGUGAGUGGAACUGCGAGUGUAGAGGUGAAAUUCGUAGAUAUUCGCAAGAACACCAGUGGCGAAGGCGGCUCACUGGCCCGUAACUGACGCUGAGGCACGAAAGCGUGGGGAGCAAACAGG